GAAUUCGAUUCGGUGUGACAAGGCCGGGAACGUAUUCACCGCAGCGUGCUGAUCUGCGAUUACUAGCGAUUCCAACUUCAUGUGCUCGAGUUGCAGAGCACAAUCCGAACUGAGACGGGCUUUUUCAGAUUUGCGCAGGAUUGGUCCAUUGCAUCCCAUUGUCACCGCCAUUGUAGCACGUGUGUAGCCCAGCCCGUAAGGGCCAUGAGGACUUGACGUCAUCCCCACCUUCCUCGCGGCUUAUCACCGGCAGUCCCCUUAGAGUGCCCAACUAAAUGAUGGCAACUAAGGGCGAGGGUUGCGCUCGUUGCGGGACUUAACCCAACAUCUCACGACACGAGCUGACGACAGCCAUGCAGCACCUGUCUCCGGUCCAGCCGAACUGAAGGGAUCCAUUUCUGGUUCCCGCGACCGGGAUGUCAAGGGCUGGUAAGGUUCUUCGCGUUAAUCACUA
rnacentral:rRNA from 1 species